CCUACGGGGGGCAGCAGUGAGGAAUAUUGGUCAAUGGACGAGAGUCUGAACCAGCCAAGUAGCGUGAAGGAUGACUGCCCUAUGGGUUGUAAACUUCUUUUAUAUGGGAAUAAAAUGUUCCACGUGUGGGAUUUUGUAUGUACCAUAUGAAAAAGCAUCGGCUAACUCCGUGCCAGCAGCCGCGGUAAUACGGAGGAUGCGAGCGUUAUCCGGAUUUAUUGGGUUUAAAGGGUGCGUAGGCGGACAGUCAAGUCAGCGGUAAAAAUGCGGUGCUCAACGCCGUACAGCCGUUGAAACUGGCAGUCUCGAGUGGGCGAGAAGUAUGCGGAAUGCGUGGUGUAGCGGUGAAAUGCAUAGAUAUCACGCAGAACUCCGAUUGCGAAGGCAGCAUACCGGCGCCCUACUGACGCUGAGGCACGAAAGCGUGGGUAUCGAACAGGAUUAGAUACCCCAGUAGUC
rnacentral:rRNA from 1 species